GACGAACGCUGGCGGCGUGCUUAACACAUGCAAGUCGAACGGAAAGGCCCUGCUUUUGUGGGGUGCUCGAGUGGCGAACGGGUGAGUAACACGUGAGUAACCUGCCCUUGACUUUGGGAUAACUUCAGGAAACUGGGGCUAAUACCGGAUAGGAGCUCCUGCUGCAUGGUGGGGGUCGGAAAGUUUCGGCGGUUGGGGAUGGACUCGCGGCUUAUCAGCUUGUUGGUGGGGUAGUGGCUUACCAAGGCUUUGACGGGUAGCCGGCCUGAGAGGGUGACCGGCCACAAUGGGACUGAGAUACGGCCCAGACUCCUACGGGAGGCAGCAGGGGGGAAUAUUGCAAAAUGGGCGCAAGCCGGAUGCAGCAACGCCGCGUGCGGGAUGACGGCCUUCGGGUUGUAAACCGAUUUCGCCUGUGACGAAGCGUGAGUGACGGUAAUGGGUAAAGAAGCACCGGGUAACUACGUG
rnacentral:rRNA from 1 species